rnacentral:rRNA from 1 species
CCCGCUGAACUUAAGCAUAUCAAUAAGCGGAGGAAAAGAAACCAACAGGGAUUGCCUCAGUAACUGCGAGUGAAGCGGCAACAGCUCAAAUUUGAAAUCUGGCUCUUCUAUGGCCCGAGAUGUGAUUUGUAGAGAAUGCUUCGUCGUCGGCUCCGAUCUAAGUUCCUGGCAACAUGACGUCAUAGAGGGUGAGACUCUCGUAUGUGAGUCGAUUGCCUUUGCCAUGCGAAGCUCAUUCGACGAGUCGAGUUGUCUGGGAAUGCAGCUCUAAAUGGGAGGUAAAUUUGUUCUAGAGCUAAAUGCCGGCCAUGAGACCGAUUGCGCACAAGUAGAGUGACAGAACGAUGAAUAGCUCUUAGGAAAGAGAGUCAAAUCGUUCGUGACAUUGUAGAAUGGGAAGCGCUUGCAACCAGUCCACCCCGCAGUUGUUCGUCUGGGCUUCUGCCCGGCGCACUGUUAUAGCUGCCAGGCCAGCAUCACUUCGUGCGGUCGGAUAAAGACUUUCGGAAUGCAGCUCCUCUCGGGGAGUGUUAUACCCCGCUCCCAAAUGCGUCCAGCCUGUACUGAGCUCCUCGCUUCGCCUAGGAUGCUGGCGUAAUGGCUGUAAGCGACCCGUCUUGAAACACGG